AAGUCGUGACAAGGUCUCCGUUGGUGAACCAGCGGAGGGAUCAUUACUGAGUCGUAAAAAACUCCCAACCCAUGUGAAUUUACCUUUGUUGCCUCGGCGGUACCUACUCGGUGCUUUAAGCUACCUUGCAGUUCCGCCGGUGGACUAAUCAACUCUUGUUAUUUUACGGAAAUCUGAGCGUCUUAUUAAAUAAGUCAAAA
rnacentral:misc_RNA from 1 species